CAGCAGCCGCGGUAAUACGUAGGGUGCGAGCGUUAAUCGGAUUUACUGGGCGUAAAGCGUGCGCAGGCGGCCCGUUAAGACAGGUGUGAAAUCCCUGGGCUCAACCUAGGAAUUGCGCUUGUGACUGGCGGGCUCGAGUACGGUAGAGGGGGGUGGAAUUCCUGGGGUAGCAGUGAAAUGCGUAGGGAUCAGGAGGAACACCGAUGGCGAAGGCAGCCCCCUGGGCCUGUACUGACGCUCAUGCACGAAAGCGUGGGGAGCAAACAGGAUUAGAUACCCUGGUAGUCCACGCCCUAAACGAUGGGUACUAGCCGUUUGGUGCGCGAUAGCGCUGAGUGGCGAAGCUAACGCGUGAAGUACCCCGCCUGGGGAGUACGGCCGCAAGGUUGAAACUUAAAGGAAUUGGCGGG
rnacentral:rRNA from 1 species